rnacentral:rRNA from 1 species
UACGUAGGGGGCAAGCGUUGUCCGGAUUUAUUGGGCGUAAAGAGCGUGUAGGCGGCCAGAUAGGUCAGCUGUGAAAACUCGAGGCUCAACCUCGAGACGUCGGUUGAAACCAUCUGGCUAGAGUCCGGAAGAGGAGAGUGGAAUUCCUGGUGUAGCGGUGAAAUGCGUAGAUAUCGGGAGGAACACCUGUGGCGAAAGCGGCGCACUGGACCAUAACUGACGCUGAGGCGCGAAAGCUAGGGGAGCAAACAGG